UCCCAAUGAUGAUUUUGAAAUCCAAUUCAGAUCAUAAGUGACGAGAAUAUUAAAUAAUAUCGAGCUUUUUAACUCUGAGGGAA
rnacentral:snoRNA from 1 species